GUGCCAGCAGCCGCGGUAAUACAGAGGUCCCAAGCGUUGUUCGGAUUCACUGGGCGUAAAGGGUGCGUAGGUGGUCGAGUAAGUCUGAUGUGAAAUCUUCGAGCUCAACCCGAAAAUGGCAUUGGAUACUAUUCGGCUGGAGGGUUGGAAGGGGGACUGGAAUUCUCGGUGUAGCAGUGAAAUGCGUAGAUAUCGAGAGGAACACCGGUGGCGAAGGCGAGUCCCUGGACAAUCCCUGACACUGAGGCACGAAAGCUAGGGGAGCAAACAGGAUUAGAUACCCUGGUAGUCC
rnacentral:rRNA from 1 species